rnacentral:rRNA from 1 species
AGCGCGCCCUUCGGGGUGAGCGGCGGACGGGUGAGUGAACGCGUGGGAAUAUGCCCUUCUCUAAGGAAUAGCCUCUGGAAACGGAGAGUAAUACCUUAUACGCCCUUUGGGGGAAAGAUUUAUCGGAGAAGGAUUAGCCCGCGUUAGAUUAGGUAGUUGGUGGGGUAAUGGCCUACCAAGCCUACGAUCUAUAGCUGGUUUGAGAGGAUGAUCAGCCACACUGGGACUGAGACACGGCCCAGACUCCUACGGGAGGCAGCAGUAGGGAAUCUUAGACAAUGGGGGCAACCCUGAUCUAGCCAUGCCGCGUGUGUGAUGAAGGCCCUAGGGUCGUAAAGCACUUUCGCCAGAGAUGAUAAUGACAGUAUCUGGUAAAGAAACCCCGGCUAACUCCGUGCCAGCCGCCGCGGGUAAUACA